rnacentral:rRNA from 1 species
ACUCAAAGGAAUUGACGGGGGCCCGCACAAGCGGCGGAGCAUGUGGAUUAAUUCGAUGCAACGCGAAGAACCUUACCUGGGUUUGACAUGCACCAGACGCGUCUAGAGAUAGGCGUUCCCUUGUGGUUGGUGUGCAGGUGGUGCAUGGCUGUCGUCAGCUCGUGUCGUGAGAUGUUGGGUUAAGUCCCGCAACGAGCGCAACCCUUGUUCCAUGUUGCCAGCACGUAAUGGUGGGGACUCAUGGGAGACUGCCGGGGUCAACUCGGAGGAAGGUGGGGAUGACGUCAAGUCAUCAUGCCCCUUAUGUCCAGGGCUUCACACAUGCUACAAUGGCCUAUACAGAGGGCUGCGAGACCGCGAGGUGGAGCGAAUCCCUUAAAGUGGGUCUCAGUUCGGAUCGGGGUCUGCAACUCGACCCCGUGAAGUUGGAGUCGCUAGUAAUCGCAGAUCAGCAACGCUGCGGUGAAUACGUUCCCGGGCCUUGUACACACCGCCCGU